rnacentral:rRNA from 1 species
UACGGGAGGCAGCAGUGAGGAAUAUUGGUCANCCCUUUGGAAGCCUGAACCAGCCAAGUAGCGUGAAGGAAGACUGCCCUACGGGUUGUAAACUUCUUUUAUCCGGGAAUAAAGUGCGCCACGCGUGGCGUUUUGUAUGUACCGGAUGAAUAAGCAUCGGCUAAUUCCGUGCCAGCAGCCGCGGUAAU